AGGGAUCAUUAAAGAGUUGCAAAACUCCCUUUACACCAUCGCGAACGUUACCUGUAAUCGUUGCCUCGGCGGCGCGGCCCCUUCUGGGGCUGGCCCGCCGGCGGUACCCUAAAACUCUGUUUUUUAUAGGCCUCUCUGAGUAACUUAUCAAAUAAGUCAAAACUUUCAACAACGGAUCUCUUGGUUCUG
rnacentral:misc_RNA from 1 species